rnacentral:rRNA from 1 species
CCUGAUGCAGCAACGCCGCGUGAGGGACGACGGCCUUCGGGUUGUAAACCUCUUUUAGCAGGGAAGAAGCGAAAGUGACGGUACCUGCAGAAAAAGCACCGGCUAACUACGUGCCAGCAGCCGCGGUAAUACGUAGGGUGCAAGCGUUAUCCGGAAUUAUUGGGCGUAAAGAGCUCGUAGGCGGUUUGUCGCGUCUGCUGUGAAAACCCGAGGCUCAACCUCGGGCCUGCAGUGGGUACGGGCAGACUAGAGUGCGGUAGGGGAGAUUGGAAUUCCUGGUGUAGCGGUGGAAUGCGCAGAUAUCAGGAGGAACACCGAUGGCGAAGGCAGAUCUCUGGGCCGUAACUGACGCUGAGGAGCGAAAGGGUGGGGAGCAAACAGGCUUAGAUACCCUGGUAGUCCACCCCGUAAACGUUGGGAACUAGUUGUGGGGUCCAUUCCACGGAUUCCGUGACGCAGCUAACGCAUUAAGUUCCCCGCCUGGGGAGUACGGCCGCAAGGCUAAAACUCAAAGGAAUUGACGGGGACCCGCACAAGCGGCGGAGCAUGCGGAUUAAUUCGAUGCAACGCGAAGAACCUUACCAAGGCUUGACAUAUACGAGAACGGGCUAGAAAUAGUCAACUCUUUGGACACUC